AUAACCCCGGGAAACUGGGGAUAAUACCCCAUAGACCAGGGACGCUGGAAUGCCCCCUGGUCGAAAGGUCCGCCGCCUGAGGAUGGGUCUGCGGCCGAUUAGGUUGUUGUUGGGGUAACGGCCCAACAAGCCUUUGAUCGGUACGGGUUGUGAGAGCAAGAGCCCGGAGAUGGAUUCUGAGACACAAAUCCAGGCCCUACGGGGCGCAGCAGGCGCGAAAACUUUACAAUGCGAGAAAUCGUGAUAAGGGAACCCCGAGUGCCCGUAAAUUCGGGCUGUCCAUCAGCGUGGGAAACUGGUGAAGAAAGGGCCGGGGAAGACCGGUGCCAGCCGCCGCGGAAUACCGGCGGCUCGAGUGGUGGCCACUAUUACUGGGCUUAAAGCGUCCGUAGCUGGAUCG
rnacentral:rRNA from 1 species